CUGAGCCUUCUCGGCGCCUCUCGUAGGCGUUUCGAAAAUGAAUCAAAACUUUCAACAACGGAUCUCUUGGUUCUGGCAUCGAUGAAGAACGCAGCGAAAUGCGAUAAGUAAUGUGAAUUGCAGAAUUCAGUGAAUCAUCGAAUCUUUGAACGCACAUUGCGCCCGCCAGUAUUCUGGCGGGCAUGCCUGUCCGAGCGUCAUUUCAACCCUCGAACCCCUCCGGGGGGUCGGCGUUGGGGAUCGGCCCUGCCUCUUGGCGGCGGCCGUCUCCGAAAUACAGUGGCGGUCUCGCCGCAGCCUCUCCUGCGCAGUAGUUUGCACACUCGCAUCGGGAGCGCGGCGCGUCCACAGCCGUUAAACACCCAACUUCUGAAAUGUUGACCUCGGAUCAGGUAGGAAUACCCGCUGAACUUAAGCAUAUCAAUAAG
rnacentral:rRNA from 1 species